rnacentral:rRNA from 1 species
UUGAACGCUGGCGGCAGGCCUAACACAUGCAAGUCGAGCGGAUGAAGGGAGCUUGCUCCUGGAUUCAGCGGCGGACGGGUGAGUAAUGCCUAGGAAUCUGCCUGGUAGUGGGGGAUAACGUCCGGAAACGGGCGCUAAUACCGCAUACGUCCUGAGGGAGAAAGUGGGGGAUCUUCGGACCUCACGCUAUCAGAUGAGCCUAGGUCGGAUUAGCUAGUUGGUGGGGUAAAGGCCUACCAAGGCGACGAUCCGUAACUGGUCUGAGAGGAUGAUCAGUCACACUGGAACUGAGACACGGUCCAGGCUCCUACGGGAGGCAGCAGUGGGGAAUAUUGGACAAUGGGCGAAAGCCUGAUCCAGCCAUGCCGCGUGUGUGAAGAAGGUCUUCGGAUUGUAAAGCACUUUAAGUUGGGAGGAAGGGCAGUAAGUUAAUACCUUGCUGUUUUGACGUUACCAACAGAAUAAGCACCGGCUAACUUCGUG